rnacentral:lncRNA from 1 species
AGCUAUUAUGCCCUUUGAUCCUUUUCAAAGCGUUUCAGAAGAUGUGCAGUGGCCUGAGGAUCUCCUGGUUCCUACUGUCUGCACAUUGACGCUGGGCUCUUGAGUGGGACAUGACAUGCCCUCUUUAAGCGUUAACCUUCCUUGCCGUGCUGACGUACGACAGGUGCUCACCGUUUCCCACGUAUUGCCUUAUUGUGCUUCACAGACAGUGUCCUUUUAACAAAUCAAGGGCUUGUGGCCACCCUGGAUCCAGUGAGUCCAUCAGCACCAUUUGUCCACAGUAUGUGCUCACUUCACAUCUCUGUCACAUUUUGGGAAUUCUUGCAAUAUUUCAAACGUUUUCAUUUUUAUUAUGUGUGUUAUGGUGAUCUAUGAUCAGUGAUCUUUGAUGUUACUAUUGUAACUGUUUUGGGGCACAAUGAACUAUGCCCAUAUAAGAUUGCGAAUUUAACUGAUAAAUGUUGUGUGUGUUCUGAUUGCUCCAAUGAAUAACCAUUUCCUUGUCUCUCUCCCCUCUCUUCAGGCCUCCUGAUUCCCACAGACACAGCAAUAUUAAGAUUAGGUCAUUUUUCUUUUCUUUUUCUUUUUCUUUUUUUUUUUUUUUUGACUGAGUCUUGCUCUGUCAUCCAGGAUAGAGUGCAGUGGCACAAUCUUGGCUCACUGCAACCUCCAGCUCCCAGGUUCAAGUGAUUCUCCUACAUCAGCCUCCCGAGUAGCUGGGAUUACAGGCAUGUAACACUCUGCCCAACCAAUUUUUGUAUUUUUAGUAGAGACAGGGUUUCACUAUGUUGGCCAGGCUGGUUUCGAACUCCUGACGUCAAGCAAUCCACCCGCCUAUGCCUCCCAAAGUGCUGGGGUUACAGGCAUGAGCUACCACACCCAGCCUAAGAUUAGGCCAAUUGAUAACCCUGCAAUGACCUCUAAAUAUUUCGGUGGAAGGAAGAGUCUCAUGUCUGUCACUUGAAAUCAUAAGCUAGAAAUGAUUAAGCUUAGUGAGGAAGGCAGGUCAAAAGCCAAGAUAGGUUCAGAGCUGGGCUUCUUGCACCAGUUAGCUAAGUUGUGAGUGCAAAACCUUCUGGAAAGAAUUCACCAUUCUAGAUGCCAUUCAGAACAUUUAUGAUUCAUGUGAGGAGGUCAAAAUAUCAACAUGAACAGGACUUUGGAAGAAGUUGGUUCUAACUUUCAUGGGUGAUUUUGAAGGGUUCAAGACUUCAAUGGAAGAAGUAACCAGAUGUUAUGAAAAUAGCAAGAGAACUAGAAUUAGAAGUGGAGCCUGAAGAUGGAACUGCAUUU